AUUGAACGCUGGCGGAAUGCUUUACACAUGCAAGUCGAACGGCAGCACGGACUUCGGUCUGGUGGCGAGUGGCGAACGGGUGAGUAAUACAUCGGAACGUGCCCAGUCGUGGGGGAUAACGCAGCGAAAGCUACGCUAAUACCGCAUACGAUCUACGGAUGAAAGCGGGGGAUCGCAAGACCUCGCGCGAUUGGAGCGGCCGAUGGCAGAUUAGGUAGUUGGUGGGGUAAAGGCUCACCAAGCCGACGAUCUGUAGCUGGUCUGAGAGGACGACCAGCCACACUGGGACUGAGACACGGCCCAGACUCCUACGGGAGGCAGCAGUGGGGAAUUUUGGACAAUGGGGGCAAGCCUGAUCCAGCCAUUCCGCGUGCAGGAUGAAGGCCUUCGGGUUGUAAGCUGCUUUUGUACAGAACGAAAAGGCUCUGGUUAAUACCUGGGGCUCAUGACGGUACUGUAAGAAUAAGCACCGGCUAACUACGUGCCAGCCGCCGCGGUAACAC
rnacentral:rRNA from 1 species